UAAUUACUAAAACCAUAAGUUGUUUGACUGAAAUUGUAAAUAACAAUUUUUUUACAGCAGCCUCUUAAUAUAUAACAUCAGUGUGCCAAUGCCUAAAUAAAUCAGUCAAUAUAUGUACACUAAAGUAGGUCUUUUCCGAAUAAAUCAUUUGCGGACGUAAAUUGCAUGUAGUUGAAAUUGAGACGCACGUAGUGAAACGCACGUAGUUGAAAUUGAAGUAAAGAAAGUCUACAAUGUAAAAAAAUUCAAACGUAUUUUUGCAAAUGUGCUAUUGGAACAAAUGCAAGACGAGAACUGAAAUCUUUGUUUUUCAUUCUAUUUGGAAUGCAACUGACACCAAGAGUGAACACAAUCUUAGGUAAACAAGUAAGGCUGGCCGCUUACACAGCGCUUAACAAGAAUUCUGUGAAUUUCAUUUAAAGAAAGAAAAUUUUUUUAAACUAUGUAGUUGUAUUACUUGAAUAUAUUAUACAAUAUUUUA